GACCCCAAGGGAAAGAGCUUGGGUUUCAGAAAGCAGAGGUGUGAGACCAAGGCCCGCAUUGGACUCUCAUCUCUCAACUGACCCUUCCAAAUAGUGAAACACGGAACGCUACCCGUGAAACCCAAUGGCCCCAAGCGAGCAUCCACCAUGCCAAAACUAAGAGAAAAAGAUCUUCAUGGGGGACAAAAUUCAGGAUUUUGAUCCAAGGGCUGUCCUGAGACAGUGGGUGUGGGCGACUGUCAAGAGGAGUCAGAAGCCCCUCCCCAGAUGGUACCCUUUGUUUCAUCAACCAACCGAAUCUUCCUUCUUGCCACAUGCUGGGUGGUGAUGUCCAGGGCUAUCUCAGAAGACUCACGGGAGAGACGCGGCAAAGUCCAGAUCAGCCCAGCUACCUACGACCAAGAGGAGUCUCUUCAGGUCCUGAGAAAGGCUCUUUCCACAACAGAAAAGAAAACAUUGACAGCUGGUGUUUUGCUUAAAAGGAAGAUUCUGAAGCAACAGUCGGAAGUUUGUAUUUUUCUCUUUCUCCUUCAGUGUCAGGGACCCCACCCCAUCAAAUUGAGGGAAGUGUUUCACAAGUCAGGGUACAGGGGACUGAAGUGUCAGUCUUCUUGUGACUUAUAUUUAGAAAAUGGAUGUUAGAAAUCCUAGGAGACCCUAAGUUGAACAAGGACAACCCAGAAAUUCAGGGUCACCAGAAGAGUAUUCCAAAAGCAGGGCUUAGGUCUAGAAAACUCUAGUUCCAUGGUAAUCAAGAAUUACGGCCCUCCAAGGAGUGGAUAUUCAGAUGGCUGACAGCAGACAGAGAGAGAGAGGCUCCUUGGAUUGGAGGACUGUUGCCACGCCAGGUUAUAAGAGUGUGCAUGUAUACACUCAGGCACUGUAGAUCAAAUCAGGGACAAUCCCCCAAAGGUUGUUGGAAGCUGUGCUUAAGGAAUCAGACUGAUUUAACUAUGACCCAGUGGACGGCACCAUUGGGUAUGUCACUCCAUGUGCAUAUCAGAGCUCCAGAGGCCUCUGAAAGCACGCCAGGUACACAGACGUAGUAAACUGCAGAAAAGACCACAGCCAUGUGCCUGGAAAAUGAAAGAGCUCAUAAUCAGUAGUGUGGGAAUGAUUUGACCAGGUGGAUAAUUUUAAUAUUGCAAAGCGCUCUUUCUGCUAUCAGUUAGUGGUAUACACUAUCAACCCAGCAUUCAGGGUAGUUGAGGAAGAAGGAUGGAGAAACUUCUAGGCCCUAGCCUGACAUUCGUAGACAGAUCCUGGCUCACAAAGCAAAAGAGCUGAGCAUGGUGGCAUAUGACUUUAAUCCCAGCACUCGGGAAGCAGAAGUAGGUGGAUCUCUGUAAAUUCAAAGCCAGCCCGGUCUACAGCCCCAUCUCCAGAGCAAGCUCCAGGACA